UGAGAAACCUGUCCCGGUCUCUGGAAUAACAGUCGGGAACGACUGCUAAUACCGGAUGCCGUCGGAGCGUCGCAUGGCGCGCUGACGAAAGGGCUACCGGAUCGGGAGGGUCUCGCGGCCUAUCAGCUUGUUGGUGAGGUAACGGCUCACCAAGGCAUCGACGGGUAGCUGGUCUGAGAGGAUGAUCAACCACACUGGGACUGAGACACGGCCCAGACUCCGUAGGGAGG
rnacentral:rRNA from 1 species